GUUGGUGGAGUCUGAAUUCUAUUUUCCGAAGCCAGAGAAUUCAUAACAAUGGUGCAGAGAUGGCAGCGGUUCUGAGGCAAGAGUACUGAAAUUUGCUUUAUAAUUUACUUGAUUAUCCAAGUUGUGCAUUUGAAGAAACACAUCCAUGUUUCCGUAGUGCUUAGUGCUAUGGGUGAAAGAAAUCUUAAAGUCAAGCAGAGAAGAAAAAAAUAAAACCCACGCAUACCUCAGAAAAGCCCAAUUCAACUCCUAACAUCACCCAACCACCCCAUCCCAGAAGAAUGAAACCAUGGAGCACAACAGGUAAUAUCAGUUUUCACACCUCUGCAUCCCCUUUUAGGAUGCUCCGGGAUAUUUUUCCUUGUGAAUUUCAGUGAACGAUUCUUUUCUAUAUUAAACUUGGUUUACUA
rnacentral:lncRNA from 1 species